GGGGGUGUAGCUCAGUUGGUUAGAGCGCCGGCCUGUCACGCCGGAGGCCGCGGGUUCGAGCCCCGUCACUCCCG
rnacentral:tRNA from 1 species